UAUCCAGGCCAAAUUAUGGAGCGAAGGCUUGCUCAAGAGACCGUUAAUCAAAGCCAAAGUAGUGCCAAGAUGACGACGUUAAGUAAAGUAUUUAGUAACGAUCAAAUGCAAAAUAUAUGUGGAGAGUUUAAGCGAUUAAAAGGCAGAUGUUACCUAGACAAUGCUGGCGCUGCUUUGUUCCCAGAAAGCCUUCUGCAUCUUGUCAAUAAUGACUUACUAAAUAAUAUGUACAUGAACACACAUACGGACAAAUAUACAGCAGACUGUGUUGAGCAAGUGAGAUGUAUGGUUUUAAAGCAUUUUAAUACAGAUCCGUCAGAAUACACUUGUAUAUUUACCUCAGGCGCCACUCAGUCACUCAAGUUAACUGCAGAAUCAUUCCAAUUUGCUAGUGAUGACCACAGUGGUUCAUUUGUUUACCUCCAAGAAAACCAUACUUCUGUUCUUGGGCUCAGAGAAAUUGCAAAGAGUAAAAAUGCAGACGUGAUUCACAUUUCACAUGAAAGCUUCUUAGAUGCUUUGAGCACUUCAAAUUCUCAAACCUGGAAGAAACAUAGUAAAAAUACCAGCAACACUCUUCUGGCAUACCCGGCACAGAGUAAUUUUAAUGGAUACAAGUAUUCCUUAGAUUGCAUUGACAAUAUUAAAAAUGGCUGCCUCAAUCAUUGUUUAAAGAAACUACUAUGUACUUUAAAAAAUAACUGGUAUGUGCUACUUGAUGCUGCAGGAUAUGUGCCGACAAAUAAACUAGAUUUAUCUAAGAUACAACCUGAUUACAUUUGCCUAUCUUUUUACAAAAUAUUUGGCUACCCGACCGGGUUAGGAGCGCUAUUGGUAAAGAAUAGUAGUGCUAAUGUUCUAAAUGAUAAACAGUACUUUGGAGGAGGUACAGUGGAUAUUGUGUUGAGUACAGAAGAUUUCCAUAUGAAAAGGACAGUCCUACAUGAAAGAUUUGAAGAUGGCACUGUCAACUUCUUAUCGAUUCUUGCCUUGAAACAUUGUUUCGAUACAAUGCAAAGAUUAAUACCAAAAGUAAUAAAUAAUGAUAUUAUGGAUACUAUAUCAUAUCACACAUUCGGCCUGGCUCAUGACCUAUAUGAGCAACUGAAGAAUCUCAAGCAUGCAAAUGGCGCUCCAGCAGCUGUUUUAUAUAUGGAUGACGAGUUUACUGAUAUUAGAAAACAGGGAGCUAUUGUAACAUUCAAUCUAUUGAGAGAAGACGGAACAUUCAUUGGAUAUGCCGAGUUCCAACAUAUGGCGGAGCUUUUCAACAUAAACGUGAGAACUGGAUGUUUCUGCAACUCAGGCGCCUGCCAACGCCACCUAAAAGCAUCCAACAAGGACUUGAAAGACAUGUUCAAAGCUGGCCACAAAUGCGGGGACCAAGUGGAUUUACUUCACGGCAAGCCUACGGGAGCUAUAAGAGUUUCUUUCGCGUAUUACAACACGUAUAAUGACGUCGAUACGCUAGUCCUAACGAUAUGCCGUUGCUACCUUCAGAACAAAUACAGGAAACCAAAGCGUUACGCUACCAAGAUUAUCAUAACUGUACAGAAUCCACUGUACAAAGACGACACUUUGAAAAUUCCAAUUGAACUCUUAGAAACUCGUGAUGUUACUGAUUCUCCUGAAUUAGAAUCUAAAAUAAAAUUAAUAGAAAUAAAUGUAUUCCCCGUAAAAUCAUGUGGGGCAUUCAAAGUUACAGGCGAUUGGAAAAUGGGGCCGAAAGGCUUCGAAUAUGACAGGGAAUGGAUGAUUGUGAAAGACAAUGGAUUAUGUUUGACUCAGAAACAGAAUAUGCUGAUGUGCAUGAUAAAACCAAUAAUAGACUUAAAUAAGAAAUUGUUGAUAUUGAAUUUUAAAGGCAAGGACCCCAUUUCGAUACCUCUGUACCCCUCACCAGAAAGUAAACUAAAAGAAUCCAGGAUUUGCAGCUCCAAAGUCUGCACAGACAUUGUCCAAGGCAUAGAUUGUGGAGACGAAGUGGCCGACUGGAUAUCUGAAGCUCUAGAAAUCUCUUACUUACGCCUAGUGAGACAGUCAAAUGACAGAAAAAUAAAAAAGAAAGGCGAAUCGGAAACCAAGCUACUAUCUCUAAGCAACCAAGCACAAUUCCUUCUUAUAAACAAGGCAACAGUCAGAUGGUUAAAGGAAAAAAUUGAUGAUCAGUUUUUCAGUGAUGACGUGGAUCAUUUAACUGAUCGGUUUAGAGGAAAUCUGAUUAUAGAUAUGGAUGAAGAGCUUGUUGAGAGAGAGUGGCAUCGAGUCAUUAUUGGGCGACAGGAAUUUAAGGUGGAAGGCCAAUGUAACCGCUGUCAAAUGGUCUGUAUAGACCAGUCAACAGGCGAGAAGACUGUGGAGCCCCUUAGAACAAUCUCAGAACAAUUUAGCGGGAAACUGCGAUUCGGAAUCUAUUUAACAUAUAUUGGUACAACUGACGGGUCUAAUGAUACCACACUGAAAACACAAUCACCAGUCAAACCAAUAAUCAAUGAUGAUAAUAUAAGCAGGUGAAAUUAAUUAGGAAAUUAGAAACUAGAUGAAAUUAGAUGUGAAUUUUACAGGUAGAAAUUUUUGUAUGCACUUUAGAUAUUUAUUUGUGGAUAAAAAUAUGUGGUCUUCAUUAGAUUUUUAACUCAAGGGUACUAAAACAGGUCACACAAAUUCUAUACAAAGCUAACUUGCCCCCGAGUUUUCCGGCUAAAGGAGAUGGCGCUGUAAGGUUAUUAUGGUAACUGAUUUGUCAAAUCAUCAACAUAUGACAACCGCAUAAUGCAUGAAGGACAGUGCCAUCUGCAUAAGCUGUCUAACUCAAAGCAGCAUGUCUUAGGCUUACGGCUCGGCCACGACAUCAAGCGACUUGCGACGGCGGGAGCGAUAACCAUAGGUUGGAGUGAAAUGUCCGAUCGCUGUGUCACGCUCCAACCUAUGGUUAUCUCUCCCGCCGUCGUAAAUAGCUCGAUGUCGUGGCAGAGCCGUUAGAGUGCACUGUGAUUAAUUUCUUACGGUUUCAGUCUUGUAAGUACGUUCGCUUAUGAAGCAUGCCGAAGAGUCAGCAGAAGUUGCUAAGCGGCCGCGGUGUUCAAAAUUACCUUGAUACGCUCUUAUUCUCUUAACAAUAAAGUCGCCUCAAGAUCAUUUUGAAUACCUGCUGACUGUACGUUAAAUCAUUUGUGGUUCUGAAACCGUAACAAAUUUUAUUAAUCGCAGUGAAUUCUAAGCCUAAGUCAUUUUAUAAAUUAUACAAUCAUUGAAUCUCUAAUACAACUUGGCCUAUUUUUAUUGCUCUUGAGCCUUUAUGUAUGUUGUAAAGUUUGUACUUUGUAGAUAGCUCAUCUUUAGCCUUAAUAUGGUUAGAUAUGUGGUAACAGAUAUGCAAGUCUGAUUAAUAAUAUGAAUUUUAUAUGGACACUGCAUUGACAGUGAUUACUGUUAUUAGUGAAUCAAUAGAAUAUUUAAACUGGACAAGGUCUGAAGACAUUCCAUAUUAGAAUCAAAACUGCAUAUGCUAUGACAGUUUGUACAAACACUAUUUAUAAUAUUUAUUACAUCAUUGCACCUCAUAGUAUUUUUAUAUUUCGUCUAUUAUUGUUAGAUAUUAUAAGUGGAAAAGUAGCCAAACUCUGACCACUCAAACUUUGCACGAACUUCGCAAUAAGGAUGCAUAUUAGGCCAGUCAAAUUAGAUGUUUUCCAGGGAUAAUUUCCAACAAGCUGGAAAAUUUCUUAAUACCUUCAUUUGGUGUAAUCCGAGUUUGCUCCGUUCCAGGAGUUGUGGAAAAAUAUUUACCUACUCUCUUUCAGUUUUUUGCUUGUAGUUGCGUCCGACGGAAAAAUUGCUCUUUUCAUGAUAAUAAUUGACAUCUGAUGAUCUGAAAAGUACCGUAAUAUGAAUUCAUAGUCAAAGAUUGUAAAAAAUGACCGCAACUUAGAAUUUUUUUGGUAAAAUUAUUGUGUUAACAUCCGAAAUUUUUAUUCACCAGUGUCUGAUCCACAACAACCUUGCAACCAAGAAUUAAGUGUGAGUGGUGACAUUGUAAUUGAUGGUGGUUCCUUCUACAUUGAGUGGUUUUGUUAAUCCAAGGUAAAAUGUAUCUCCCAAGGCUCCAUAAAUUUGUCCACACCUCCUGGGAUGAAGCAAACUCGGAUUAUACAUGUUUAGGACCAAGUGAAGGGUCAAAUAUAAGUUCCUAUGUAUUUCAUAGUAUAAGGUACUAUUAUUCAUCAAAUAUUUUGGAAUGUAUGGAUUUUUUGGAUGACAGUAAAAUGAAAAUCAUUCCUACUAGAUUUAAACUUGCCUUAUUAUUAAGAUGCAUUUAAGACUAGUUUGUUACAGGGAUUUUCAAAGUUAAAGCUAAAUAUAUACAUUAUAUAUUUUAUAAAUACAUAUUAUGAUAUUACACAGUU